AGAGAGGGGGAGGGAGGAGAGGAGGAAGAGCGCCGCAGCCUCGGCAGCUGGAGUCGGAGCAGGGGGGGAUGGUUUCAAAAAAUAAUUAAAAAUCGAGGAAAUAUCCUAGAAAAGCCCUUUUGGCGUGAAAACCCCAAAGAAGAGCCAGGCUUCCCGAAACAGAGGUUUCGGGUGCCAGAAAGGUGCCCCAGCAGCUCCAGGUCUCGCUGAACCUGUUACUAUGGCAGCGUCUAUGCUUCACUUUUGAGGAUUGCUUCUGCUUUGAAAUAGCCGUGUGGAAGAAAAACUACAAAGUUUUGAGGGGGAAAAAACCCACCUAACUUUAGCUGCCGUUGUGUCUUCAUCUGUAAAAAUCUUCUUCAUGUCUCAUGGAUUUCAACAUGCAGUUUAUCUUGGUUUGUUCCAUAAAACAUCAGAUGCAACUUUAAUGGCCUAACCCCAAAAAGAUAACUUGGCAGCCAUCAAGCAUUCAGCAGCGUUCCAAAUGCCCUCUUGCUGGAGCCAGCCUUCUACGGGGCCAUGUGGAUGUCAGGCACACACAAUUUGAGUCACGCUGACAUAGCUGGGAUGCCUGGAUUGCACUGGAAUCUGGGGGGUACCAAUCACAGGCCAGAGAGAAGCCAUUGGCUGGAAGGAACAAUGCCAGCGUGUUCACCGUCUCUGCAGAAGGAGGGGGUGUUGAUGGUGAGGGGAAUGACAGUUGCAGCCAAAGGAGCAAAAUGACCCCAAAGCAGGGUGGGCACAUGUCAUUGAUGCUGGGCAGAAGCACUCCAGGGGCUCAGGUCAUGACCACACCCCUUUUCUCCUGCCCCACAACCAGAAAAACUAAGAAGGUACAAGAUUUUCCCUAAAACUUAAUGUACAGAAUGCCCUGCUGUCUUCAGGUUUUUGGGAAAUCCAGGGUUGACAACAACAGCCCAAAUAUAUGAAGCACUUACCUCUACCAGGCACUGUCUGUAUCUUACAAAUAAUUCGUUUAAUUCUCACAACUCCUUAAUGAGGUGUAAGCCUUUUUCUGGUUCACUACAUGCCAAGGACUGCGCUAAAUCAUUCACAUAAAACCACCAGCGUGCAUCACCUCAUUUGGUCCUCCCACAGUCUAACGGAAGAAUCUACCAUAAAACCAACAGACUCCUCCUGAUCUCUACCUGUGCUGUCUGCCUCUCUAGUUCCGGACACUGAGAGCUGGUGCCCUGUGGCCACCUCAAGCUGGAACCCUGCAAGAUCACCAAGAAGACUGCAUGCCUCGCUCUAGCCUUCCUAAGGGAAAGUAGACUCCUGUUUUUGAGAGAAAUUACCUGAUUUCAAGAGAAACAUAAAGGACUUUUUUUCCCUUAACAUUCCACUCGUAAAAAUGAAGUUUGGAAGAACUUCUGCAAACUCUGAGUGUUUUGGUCAAUUGACCUUUUACUGUACUAAGCAAAUCUGAAGCCACAAAUACAUUGGGGAGGAAGGUAUACCCUUCACAAAAGAUCCGUCACUUAGCCAGAUACUCUGUUGCCAUGCUUCUUUAAAUAAAGCACAUUUCUGGUA
rnacentral:lncRNA from 1 species